rnacentral:rRNA from 1 species
GAUGAACGCUGGCGGCGUGCCUAAUACAUGCAAGUCGAGCGAAAAGACGAGAAGCUUGCUUCACUGAUGUUAGCGGCGGACGGGUGAGUAACAAGUGGAUAACCUACCUAUAAGACUGGGAUAACAACGGGAAAUCGGAGCUCAUACCGGAUAAUAUUUUGAACCGCAUGGUUCACAAGUGAAAGACGGUCUUGGUGUCACUUAUAGAUGGAUUCGCGCUGGAUUAGCUAGUUGGUAAGGUAACGGCUUACCAAGGCAACGAUGCAUAGCCGACCUGAGAGGGUGAUCGGCCACACUGGAACUGAGACACGGUCCAGACUCCUACGGGAGGCAGCAGUAGGGAAUCUUCGGCAAUGGGCGAAAGCCUGACGGAGCAACGCCGCGUGAGGGAUGAAGGUCUUCGGAUCGUAAAACUCUGUUAUUAGGGAAGAACAUAUGUGUAAGUAACUGUGCAGAUCUUGACGGUACCUAAUCAGAAAGCCACGGCUAACUACGUG